rnacentral:lncRNA from 1 species
UUUUUUCUUUAAGUUUACAGAUGUUGCAGGACAUAUCUUGACAUAUCUCUACCGGGAGGUCAGAGAAAGGAGGGGAAAACAUCUUGGAUUUCAGGUUAUCUUCCCUUCUAGGACUUCAGACCCAAUCAGGGAGUGUGAGAAUAAAAUGUGGGCAAAUAGGAUUUAUGUUGGUUAGAAAUUUAAAGUGAAAUUAUGACAUACUACUUGUAUGUCUUAUUAUCUGCCUUCCAAGAACUGCACUAUUAAAAUAAUGAGAACUCUGGAUCCUUCUACACAUUUUGAAAUUUAGAAUUUUUUUUUAAAUUUUUAUUUAUUUAUGAUAGAGAGAGAGAGAGAAAGGCAGAGACACAGGCAGAGGGAGAAGCAGGCUCCAUGCACCGGGAUCCCGAUGGUGGGACUCAAUCCCCGGUCUCCAGGAUCGCGCCCUGGGCCAAAGGCAGGCGCUAAACCACUGCGCCACCCAGGGAUCCCCUGAAAUUUAGAAUUUAUGCAUCUAUAUUUUUAAAAUGUUAAAUCUGUACACUUGCCUAUAAAGUUUAUUGCUUUGGUACUACUGAAGACUACAAAGUAUACAGAUUCAGAGACAAGUCAGUAGAGUUGCAAAUAUUUUGCAUAAUGUUUAACAUUUUAUUUGGAUAGGCAAUUGCACAUCCUCCCUCUACCCAAGUUUUUUCUUUCUUUAAAAGUUUGUUUUUGUUUUUAACUUAGCCAGACAUUUAUGUGACAAAUCUUGGGUCUGUCUUCUUUUAAAAAAAAAACAAAAACAAAAAAAAACCCAAAAAAGCGUUUCUUCAGCCUGGCUUUUGUUUAUGUUAUUGUUUCAUCUCUCUUUUUGAUGACAAGGUUCUUGGAAAUCUGUCUGCCUUCACUUCCUCAUUUCACUACAAUUUUGUCUUAAUCUUCAGAUUUAAUCACCCAGCUGAAGUGGUAGUCUCAAAGGUCACCGUAUGACUGCCAAAUUCAGUGGCUUCAUUCCUUAAUACUUCUGUUUAAUCCUUUCAGCACUUGUUAGUUUUGUACUCCUUAAAACUCUGUGUAUAUAUAACCUAUCUGUUUUGUUUUUCCAUUUCUUUUUAUUAUUAUUAUUUUUUGCUUUUCCAUUUCUUUGGAUGUCUUCUUCAGCCGUAGCCACCACUAUUUAAAGCAGUCUCAGGUUCUGUCUCUACACUUUGUCCCUGAAUUAUCUUCGUGACCCCAUGACUUGUCAGUGUUGGUUUCUCACUUCAGCUCUAAUGAUCUCUAUAAUCAGAACUAAAUCCUUCUCUUCUCCCUUGCCCCCAAGCAUUAGCUGUUCCUUUCCCUCCUAAUUUGGUUAUUGGCAUCACUAUGUCUCUACCUAGUCAUUGCAAAAGUUACCUGGUUUCUCUUUUCUUCUAUAUACAAUGUAUUGUGAGAUUUUCUUGAGUUGACCCCAGAAAUGUUCAUAAUUUGUCUACUUGUUGUAGAUGUUCACAGCCAUGUUAGAUGUUCAUCUCACCAGGACUCUUAAAAUAUCCCAAAAUGUUCUGGGCUGCCUGUACUCCUCUGCCCCUAUGCCUGUUCCAGUCCAUUCUUUGUUACUACCAGAUUGAUCUUCCUAAGACAGAUAUGAUUGUUACUCUUUAGCUUAGAAAUAUUCUAUGACUGUUUUCCUAAAGAAUAGAAGCCAAACGCUCAGCAUUACACCAAAAAGCCUUCAUGAUAUGGCUUUUCCAGCUUCAUCCAUCACAAUCUUCCAUUAAUGUGCCCAAUUUCCAGCUUUACUGAGUGCUAGUACUUGCCAUUUCUUUUGUGUACUUUAAAAAGUCUUUACCUUUGCUGGGGAAAUCCCUGCUUGGAAUACAACACUGUGAAAUCUUUUUCCGAAACUUUAAACAUCUCUUCUGUGUUUUACUGAGUUUAUGCAUUCCAACUGUCCCCUUUACCCCAAAGCUGGUGUAGAACCAUUUCUUCCAUCUGCUUCUUGUGUCCUUCUGUUCACAUCAUUAAUAUAACUAUUAGUUAAGUAUAUGUUGGGCUCUAGCUAAACCAUGAGCUGUAAGUUCCAAUUUUAUUUUUAUCCCUUUGUGUCCUCAAUGCCUAAUAUAUACACCUGGUAUUCAAUAAAUAUUUGAAGGAACAAAAGUUGCACCUUUACUGGGGUGGGAAAAACUAAUCAUGUAGGUUUCUAUGAUUUAAAAACUCUGCCUCUGACUUUAAUUCAUAAUGUAAUUCUAGAAUUGCAAUAGAAAAGUGGAGAAAAUUCGAUCAGCAGGCACCAUAAGGAGACUAAGUUUCUAUUUGGUACUUCAGUCUUAUGAAUAAGGUUUAAGAAGUACCCCUGUUAAAUAUCUAGGCCCAUUGGGCAAUGUGGAUAAAAUAAGUAUCGUAAAGAUUGCUAAACCUGUAAGACCCAACUUUUUUUCUCCAACAAGAGAUACACUUAUUAUAAACUGAGGAUAAAUUUAAACUAGACUUAAAAUUAUUAAAAUGGCAAAUCUAAGAAGCAGGUUUAGUAUCUUAUAGUCGGAAGCAUGUUUUUAUCAUACUAAGUCUUAUUUGGCAAGAUGAAGUCUCCCUACUGAUAUAAAUAUUCAAAAAUUGGGAAUAUUGAAUGUGAUAACAUGCACCAAUAUUUUUAGUCUAUAUGUGUUCUGUUGCAGGAGUGAGACAAGGACAUAAAGGUGGCACAUUUUCACAGACCUCCUCCUGUAAAGCCUCUGAUAUGAUACUAUGCUGAGAACAUUUGAAUAGUACAGCUAUGGGUAACGAAAGGGGACUAAUAAACUUGUAAAUGUUGAGAAAUCAGUUUUUCCCAUUGGUAAAAAGGUGGGGAGUGGGGGCAGGGAAUACCUAUCUAUUCUGUUAAUUGGUGGUGAGAAUUAAAUCAGAGAACAUGCCAAGUGCUUGCUUAGUGCAUUGGUUUAUAUAUUGUAGACACUACAAAUGUUAGCUUCUGAUCCUAGAAUUAACACAGAAGAGCUAUGUUCUGGGUCAGCCUAAUCAUUUCACACCUUUCUCACUAAUUAUCUCUUCUCUGCAUUCCUCCCUCUAGUUUUGGGCAAAGGAUAGGCAUCUGGGAAGAGGAAAAUGUUUAUCAAGGGAUCAUGAGAUUUGGUGGAAGUAGGUAGAUUUCAAAAACUUACUUCUUCCUAGUUCACUAUUUUGCCCAGGGCCAGCAAUUCAAAAUCAUGUCUUGUUACAGACUGCCCUUUUCUGAUUACAAAUUAGUAUUUGUAGUAUAUAGAUGAUGGCAGUAAAUUUACUUCAUGGUAUAAGAUACCAGUAUGAUUACAGUAUAACUUGAACACAGGACAUGCAAAAUGAGAGUAAAACAUUAAAAUGUAAAGUAGAUCCCUCUCAUAAAAGCUUUUAACCCAAGGUUACCUUAUCUGGCAUUUGGUAACUGGUAUGUAUCUUCCAUGGAUGCCAUUUUUUUUCUUCUGUAGCAAACCAAUUUUGGAAAUAGCUUUUGGAGUUAAAACUUCUCCAUUUUUCAGGGAUCAUGGGCUGAUCUCAUUUCAUUUAUCUGGGCUUUAGUUUUUCCAUCAUUAUAAUGAGGCUUUUUCCCCCUGUUUGUUUUAUCCUGGUUCUAAUAUUAUAAUUCCCGUGUACUUUCACUAUGUCAUUAAUUAUAAGAACACCAACAAUACUUUGAGGACAACCGAUAUUUACUGUGGAAACAUGACCAAUUAAGAUUAAAGGAAACUCGUUUUGUAGUUUGUGGCUUGUUUCUUAAUGUAAUGCUAAAAGGACUCUGAUUAAUUUUCUCUCAGUAAAGAGAAAUAACUAUUUUUGAUGACACAGAUGCAUAGUAAUUAAUAUGCCUGCCCCUAUAUGAAAAUGCCUCUAUGGUUUCCUCUUCUUUUUUGGCCAUCACUUCUGUUCAUUAGUCAACGUCAGUUUCUCUUACUUGCUGCAUUGUAAAAACAGACUGGAAAGCAGAUGAUUUAAUUUGUAAGAUUAAUAACUUAAAAUUACAGUAAACUCUAGCCCACAAAUGGAAGCUGUGUGCAACUAUUUUUCUUGGUGCUUGGAAGCUCUCUUGCUGGAUUUGUGUUCAUGUUUCAUGUGGUGGAUUGAUGGCACCAAUAUACUCAGCCUCUGUUCAUGAAAUACUGCUGAACAAGUUGUGAAUUCUUUCAAUAUUUUCUACUUUUCACAUUUUCAAGUCAUAAAAAGUUAUUUUGUCCACAAGUUGCUUUUACCCAGACUUUCUGAUAAAUCUUUUGCUCCACACCAGAUUACAUUACUUCUUACCCAUGUUGACCUGGAAAAUACUGGUUUCACAAGGAACCUUUCAUGUUUAAGUUAAAUCUUUGUAUUAUAAACAAAAUAUCCUAGAACUAAAACAGGAAGGUAUUUUUCUGCAAUACUGUUUAUAUAUUAUUCCAUUAGUUUUGCUUUUUCUGUGAGCAUAAUUUCUAUCCUAUUUUUAAUUACUUAAUGUUUUAAGUGUAUUCCAACCACUGAGGCUGUGAUAUUGUGUUUUAUAAGAAAUACACAUCUGGUCUUCAUCCCUAUUCCUGGCACAGGAAUUUAACACCCUUAGAAUUUUCUAAGUGUUUAGCAUGAAAAAGGUGUCUUUUGAACUUACGUUAAUGAGGUAACUUGGAAAACUCCUAGGUAACUUAAGGAUGGGGGCUGGUUGCCAGGGAGAAACAACAUUGUGAUUAAAGGGUUAGAACUCCUCCUUCCUUAUCUCCAGGGGAGAGGAACUGGAGAUUGAGUUCAGUCACCAAUAGCCAAUGAUUUCAUUAAUAUUCGAUGUAAUCAAGCCUCCAUAAAAUCCUAAAAGGACAGGGUUCAGAGAGCUUCUGGGGUGGUGAACACAAGGAGAUGGAAGAAGAGUGGUAUGCCAGGAGACCAUGGAAGCUCCUUGCCCCUUCCCCAUACCUUGCCUUACCAUUUCUUCCAUCUUGCUGUUCCUGAGUUAUAUUCUUUUAUAAUAAACUGGUGAUCUAAUAAGU